rnacentral:piRNA from 1 species
UCGUGUGUAGCUGUUUGAGGACUA